rnacentral:rRNA from 1 species
CGCCUCUUGAACCCAUGUAAGAGGUCCAGCCUGCCCAGUGACUUUGUUCAACGGCCGCGGUAUCCUAACCGUGCGAAGGUAGCGUAAUCAUUUGUUCUUUAAAUAAGGACUAGUAUGAAUGGCAUCACGAAGGUUAUACUGUCUCCUUUUUCUAAUCAGUGAAACUAAUCUCCCCGUGAAGAAGCGAGGAUAAAAAUAUAAGACGAGAAGACCCUAUGGAGCUUCAAACUAAAUAACAUUUACUUUAUUAAUUUCCAUCUUGAGAGCUAUCCAAUCUACCAUCGUAAAAUGAUUAUUAGUUUUGGGUUGGGGUGACCUUGGAGUAAAAUACAACCUCCACGUCGUAAAAUUCUAGCAAUUUAAGCCAAGAGUUACAACUCUAAGCAUCAAAACUUUGACGUUAAUUGACCCAAUAUUUGAUCAACGAACCAAGUUACCCUAGGGAUAACAGCGCAAUCCACUUCAAGAGCUCCUAUCGACAAGUGGGUUUACGACCUCGAUGUUGGAUCAGGGUAUCCCAGUGGUGCAGCCGCUACUAAUGGUUCGUUUGUUCAACGAUUAAAACCCUA